AAAUUCUUGUUGGAGAAGCAGGGCACGUGCAAACUCACCCAUUUCUAAACCCUUUGCACGUGCUCCCCUUCUCCAACAUGGCUUC
rnacentral:pre_miRNA from 2 species